CCCAUCCCUCUCUCGCCGAAAACAGCGCAUCCCCUCCCCUCCCCGCUCCUAUCCUCUCUCGCAGAAAAAACAUCCCAUCCCUCUCGAAGAAAACAACGCCGUCCGCCGCCCAUCGCUCUCCACCGCGUCGCCAUUGUCCCCUUCGUCAGCCGCCCCAUCGCCAUCCAUCCCCCCGGUCCCCUCAACCCUAACCGCGCUACCUCAACCGGUCGUCGCCGCCGCCUCACCCUGUGCCCUCGCCAGAUCGAUGCCGCGAUGCCCUGCCUCCUCGCCUUGGAGCAUCUCGCGCUGGAUCCCGCAGGUCGCGCUCCUAUCCACGGCCACCGCGGAACGAUCUGCGACUGACGAUUGCGAUUUGGAAAAUUUAUGGAAUGCUAAUGACCACGGCAAUCAGCAAGGAGGCAAUUGCCCAGUUCUUCUUUGUGGAUUCCUUCCUUUAAUCUGAACAAAAAGGACUCAGAGCUGCUAUGCUGAGUUCAUCAGAGGUAUAUGUGUGGCAAAUUCCACUCUCUAUAUUUGUCUAAUCAUUUUCUAGGUAAGCUGUAAGUAAUCUGCUACGAUGAAGUCAUGCUCACAAUGAACAAUCAUUACUGUGUACUCAGGCUCACUAAAAUUUGAUGGCUUUUGCAUCUGCAAUAUUUUAAUCCUUAUGCUCAUGCAACUUAACCUUUCAUAUCAGUGCAGUACAAUCCAACUUUUGAUUAUUGAUACGUAUAAUCUUGAGUUUUCAACUGAUCAAUACAAGAACCUUAAUUGUAAGUCUCAUCUUUUGCACUUGACUCUGUGUAUACAUUAUAUAUUGACUAGGAACAUGGAAAGUUUCAAAUUGCUGUCAGAUAUAUGUUUCCUAAGUUUGAUGAUUUGAUUAAUCUUGCAGCUAAUAAUCACCAUUGAUCUCAGCUAAACACCUCUUACAUAAUUGUUUAGCGGCUAUUUAUCUAGAAUGUAAAAAGCAAAAAAAAAAAGGCCUUGUUUAAUGGCACUAACUGCACAUUGGUAAUGUAUCAUACUAUUAGGUAAAUAUGUACUGAUGUACUUUACACUCCUAUUAUGCAAAUGCUAAGUUACAAUAUGUACUUUACACUCUAUUAUGCAUGUUAUAAAACCAGCCCCGAAAUCAACAUCGGUAGCUAAACACGGAAGAAAACGCCAUAGGAGAUCCAAAAUGAUGACGACACCGAGGCACGAUAUUUGAUAAUGGAGUUCAGCCGAGGCUUACAUCUCCGGGGCACUGAUUACGGGCGCUCCUCCCCGAUCCAGCAUAUACAGCGUAUCAGAGUUACAACGACUCACGGCCGGUCGCCGCCGGCAGCCGCUUCCUCUCGCUAUGCUAAGUCGCCAUGUGAUUACAACAGGCACGCCCCUCUAUUUAUGAGAGAUCCUAGGAUAGAGUUCGACUCUUACUCUAAUCCUAAUACCUAUUACAACUGCAAGUCCUAAACUGUAACCGACUACGUACACAUAUUCGACACAAACUCUAACAAACUCCACCUUGGCGAAUAUGCCAUGCCAACCUAAAUUUGUUCCAUGCGCGAACCUUCGUGUACCAGGACUUGAGUUGAUCCUUUUUCGCCGCUCACGCCGAGCUGCCCCGACGAACCUUCACCAGGCUCACCGUAACAAGAGACUCCCGCUAUCCCUGCAAGUUCUUCCUCUUGACUCCACCUGCAACAGUGCUCCACCUUCUCUCAUAUCACCACAGUCGUCUUGCCAAGCGAAAUUGGAUUUCUUCCUAGCUGUCACAUCAUAGACUCCCGAAGACCAUGUUCAACUUCAUCUUCUGUCUUAAAUUUGACUUGAUCUAAUCCAUGGCCAGAUAACUGACGUCAUCACCAAAUAGAUAAAUCAAACUCACCAGACAUAAAGUGAAUCCUUUCUUCCUUGUUGUCUUAUGAACCGAGCUAAUAAAUCCAACAUCCACACUUCUCCGCAUCCGUAGACUGUAUAUCUGAUGCUCUAGGCAUAUAUCUUUUUUGAACACAUAUUUUUUACAAGAGGGAGUAGUUAGCAGGUGAUAAACUGAUAACGAGAUAGUAACAAGGCAUGGAUGAAGCUUCAUUUAAGACUGUAUAGUACCUUCGCCACACACAACCGUCGUUCAAGCAAGCGUCGCCAUCGUCAUAGAGCGAGCGAAUGGUGGGUUCAGGGUCAGUGCCGAGGCGGCUUGUGCUGACCAAUGGUGUCACCGCUGCUGCCAUCAUCACCGUCACCGACCUCUUCUCUCAGAGCGAUCUACAGAGCAAGAUUUAUACUUCUGCUUUGACGAACAAAUUAUUAGGAGUGUCAUAGGCCGAUUCCAAACAGGUGAUGCGAGAGCGUUUUGAUUCGUUAGAGUAUCUUCAUUGCUCUGCCAGAAGUUAUACUUCUGCUCAACAAAAGAGUUUGGCAAGAUUUGAACGGUUGGUUGUACAUAACAUACCAAUUGAUUGACGGGAUGUACCCAGUUUGGAGCCCAUAUAACUUGUGUAUUUCUUAUUUGCAAUUAAUCCCAACACUUAAAGAUGGUGUUGAAAUGGUCAUGUUUGGCGUGUAUCGAGGUUAUAAAUUAGUGGAGUUGUAUUAUGCUUUCAUGCUGCUACUGAGAAAUCAAAUUGAUGUAUGAUAUUUUAAAACUUUGAAAUAUAAAAUCGCAUUGUAAAUUGGUUUCAA